CUAUUUUUUUAUUUUUUUUUCAUGUUUCAAUUUGUUUUUCAAUUCAAUUGUCAAUGCUAUUUGCUUUUUACUAACCUAUGUUUGUUGUUUUUUAUAGUAUACGAACAUAAAAAAGCCUCCAAACCUCCAAAGAAACCAGCAAGAUUCUUUAAAAAAAAUCACAAGAGAGAAACUCUGCAGGUUUUGAAAAUCGCUGUGAGCAGAGUUACUGAGCUGCUUAGGUUCCUUUCCUCCUUCAACAAACAUCCAGGCCCUUAACAACCCAUCAGUGCUGAAGGGGUGGCAAUCGGAUGGUGGGGAUCCUUGUGAAGAGUCAUGGGAUGGAGUUUCAUGUGCUGGUUCCUCUGUGAUAUACCUCAAACUUCGUAGUCUGACCCGUUUUGGAUAUAUUCCUGAGGAGCUCCAUACGCUGUUCAAUUUAAAGCACCU